GAAGGGUGCAAGCGUUGUCCGGAUUUAUUGGGUUUAAAGGGUGCGUAGGCGGUUCUAUAAGUCAGUGGUGAAAUCCGGCAGCUCAACUGUCGAUGUGCCAUUGAUACUGCAGAACUUGAGUACAGACGAGGUAGGCGGAAUUGACGGUGUAACGGUGAAAUGCUUAGAUAUCGUCAAGAACACCGAUAGCGAAGGCAGCUUACUAGACUGUAACUGACGCUGAUGCACGAAAGUGUGGGGAUCAAACAGGAUUAGAUACCCUGGUAGUCCACACUGUAAACGAUGAUUACUCGAUGUUGGCGAUACACAGCCAGCGUCUUAGCGAAAGCGAUAAGUAAUCCACCUGGAGAGUACGCCGGCAACGGUGA
rnacentral:rRNA from 1 species